rnacentral:tRNA from 2 species
AGGGGGAUAAGUGGCCUUACACUGCGACUUCUAAUCGCAAUUGGCGCAAUUCGAUUUUGUGCUCCUUCUU